GGGCUUGUACUGGUUUCGACGGGGGUUUAGAAGUUGGGGAAGCCAUCCGUAGCGGGGAACUACGUUAAAAGCUCCACUUAAAUAUAAACGCAGACGAUAGAGUAGCGUUAGCUGCCUAGUUGCAGCAGUCGGCCCUGAGUCUCUCAUCGCCCAGGAUACCGGCUUCGAUUAGAUGAGGCACUUCACUCCCUAAGCUUUGCGGGAAUGGAAGAAUUUAUGAAGCUACUGAAGUUUGCAGCCUGUCAUUAGGCGGCGGAUGGAGGGAAUGAAAAAGUAAUGACUGUGAUGGGAGAUGCCACAAUGGAAGAGCUUUCGGACGCGGGUUCGAUUCCCGCCAGGUCCAU
rnacentral:tmRNA from 1 species